rnacentral:rRNA from 1 species
UACGUAGGGGGCAAGCGUUGUCCGGAUUUAUUGGGCGUAAAGAGCGUGUAGGCGGCCUGAAAGGUCAGCUGUGAAAACUCGAGGCUCAACCUCGAGACGUCGGUUGAAACCGUAUGGCUAGAGUCCGGAAGAGGAGAGUGGAAUUCCCGGUGUAGCGGUGAAAUGCGCAGAUAUCGGGAAGAACACCCGUGGCGAAGGCGGCUCACUGGCCCGUUACCGACGCUCAGGCGCGACAGCGUGGGGAGCAAACAGG